CGAGUCCGAGUCUCCACGGAGACGAAGUGGCGGUCAUCCAGCUUCCUAGAAAAGCUCUAACCACGUUAAUCUUUAGUUGCCUGUACCCGAAACCGACACAGGUAGGGGGGUAGAGAAUACCAAGGGGCGCGAGAUAACUCUCUCUAAGGAACUCGGCAAAAUGACCCCGUAACUUCGGGAGAAGGGGUACCACUGAGAAGUGGUCGCAGUGAAGAGGCCCAGGCGACUGUUUACCAAAAACACAGGUCUCCGCCAAGUCGCAAGACGAAGUAUGGGGGCUGACGCCUGCCCAGUGCCGGAAGGUUAAGGAAGUGGGUUAGGGAUUCGUCCCGAAGCUGACGACUGAAGCCCCGGUGAACGGCGGCCGUAACUAUAACGGUCCUAAGGUAGCGAAAUUCCUUGUCGGGUAAGUUCCGACCCGCACGAAAGGCGUAACGGUCUGGGCGCUGUCUCGGAGAGAGGCUCGGCGAAAUAGGAUUGUCUGUGAAGAUACGGACUACCUGCACCUGGACAGAAAGACCCUAUGAAGCUUUACUGUAGCUUGGAAUUGGGUUCGGGCUUGGUUUGCGCAGGAUAGGUGGGAGGCGAAGAAGAUUUGCUUGUGGGUGAAUCUGAGCCAACGGUGAGAUACCACUCUAACCAGGCUAGAAUUCUAACUUCAACCCGUCAACCGGGGGAAGGACAGUUUCAGGUGGGCAGUUUGACUGGGGCGGUCGCCUCCUAAAAGAUAACGGAGGCGCACAAAGGUUCCCUCAGGCUGGUUGGAAAUCAGCCAACGAGUGCAAAGGCAGAAGGGAGCUUGACUGCGAGACCUACAAGUCAAGCAGGGUGGAAACACGGUCUUAGUGAUCCGACGGCACCGAGUGGAAGGGCCGUCGCUCAACGGAUAAAAGUUACUCUAGGAUAACAGGCUGAUCUCCCCCAAGAGUUCACAUCGACGGGGAGGUUUGGCACCUCGAUGUCGGCUCAUCGCAACCUGGGGCGGAAGUACGUCCCAAGGGUUGGGCUGUUCGCCCAUUAAAGCGGUACGUGAGCUGGGUUCAGAACGUCGUGAGACAGUUCGGUCCAUAUCCGGUGUAGGCGCAAGAACAUUGAGAGGAGUCUUCCUUAGUACGAGAGGACCGGGAAGAACGCACCGCUGGUGUACCCGUUAUCGUGCCAACGGUAAACGCAGGGUAGCCAAGUGCGGAGUGGAUAACCGCUGAAAGCAUCUAAGUGGGAAGCCCACCUCAAGAUGAGUGUUCUCAUGGAGUAAUCCAGUAAGGUCACGGGAAGACGACCCGUUGAUAGGCGGUAGGUGGAAGUUCAGCAAUGGAUGAAGCCGAGCCGUACUAACAGACC
rnacentral:rRNA from 1 species